rnacentral:tRNA from 1 species
UGUGGUUGUGGCUCAAUGAUAGAGCACUUGCCUAGCAUGCAUGAGGCACUGGGUUCGAUCCCCAGAACCAUAU